GUAGGUGGCAAGCGUUGUCCGGGAAUUAUUGGGGCGUAAAGCGCGCGCAGGCGGUUCUUUAAGUCUGAUGUGAAAGCCCACGGGCUCAACCGUGGAGGGUCAUUGGAAACUGGAGAACUUGAGUACAGAAGAGGAAAGCGGAAUUCCGCGUGUAGCGGUGAAAUGCGUAGAGAUGUGGAGGAACACCAGUGGCGAAGGCGGCUUUCUGGUCUGUAACUGACGCUGAGGCGCGAAAGCGUGGGGAGCAAACAGGAUUAGAUACCCUGGUAGUCCACGCCGUAAACGAUGAGUGCUAAGUGUUAGGGGGUUUCCGCCCCUUAGUGCUGCAGCUAACGCAUUAAGCACUCCGCCUGGGGAGUACGGCCGCAAAGGCUGA
rnacentral:rRNA from 1 species